rnacentral:rRNA from 1 species
AUUGAACGCUGGCGGCAUGCCUUACACAUGCAAGUCGAACGGUAACAGGUCUUCGGAUGCUGACGAGUGGCGAACGGGUGAGUAAUACAUCGGAACGUGCCCGAUCGUGGGGGAUAACGAAGCGAAAGCUUUGCUAAUACCGCAUACGAUCUACGGAUGAAAGCGGGGGAUCUUCGGACCUCGCGCGGACGGAGCGGCCGAUGGCAGAUUAGGUAGUUGGUGGGAUAAAAGCCUACCAAGCCGACGAUCUGUAGCUGGUCUGAGAGGACGACCAGCCACACUGGGACUGAGACACGGCCCAGACUCCUACGGGAGGCAGCAGUGGGGAAUUUUGGACAAUGGGCGCAAGCCUGAUCCAGCCAUGCCGCGUGCGGAAGAAGGCCUUCGGUUGUAAACCGCUUUGUCAGGAGAAUCUUCUGGUAAUACUCGGAGGAUGACGGUACCUGAAGAAUAAGACACCGGCGUAACUACGUGCCAGCAGCCGCGUAAUCACG